AUGAGGGUGACAGUGGCAGCUCUCCUUCUGUGUCUUGUGGUGGCAGCAUGCCGCAGCCAGGAGACUCCACCUGGCCCUCCUGGACCAACUGAAGGGCCAGAACCAACUGGACCACCUGGCCCACCAACUGGAGGUCCUGAUCCAACAGGUCAGCCUACUGGAGGUCCUGAACCAACUGGUCCACCAGGCCCACCUACUGGAGGUCCUGAACCAACAGGUCAACCUACUGGGGGUCCUCAACCAACUGGACCACCAGGCACCCCUACUGGAGGUCCUGAACCAACUGGAGGACCCCAGCCAACUGGUGAACCUCAGCCUACUGGCCCACCAGGGCCACCCUCUGGAGGACUUUGGCUUUUUUGAAUUGGUGGACUCUGAUGGUUGACAUGAUUGCAUCUGUGAAACAUCAAGAGAGUUCAGACUUGAUAUUUACAAUUAACUGGAUCUGACUUUACUGAUGGAAGUGUUCUGUGAAUAGCUUUGUAAAAUUUUUUGUCAUUAAAUGAGCAUCUGAAAAUCUC
rnacentral:lncRNA from 1 species